GCUAGUUGUACGAGUUCAGACUCGUAGCAGAUAGCUCAGUAACACGUGGCCAAACUACCCUAUGGACCCAGACAACCUCGGGAAACUGAGGCUAAUCUGGGAUACGAUUCUCCCGCUGGAACUGCAGAGAAUCCGAAAUGCCCCGGCGCCAUAGGAUGUGGCUGCGGCCGAUUAGGUAGACGGUGGGGUAACGGCCCACCGUGCCGAUAAUCGGUACGGGUUGUGAGAGCAAGAGCCCGGAGACGGUAUCUGAGACAAGAUACCGGGCCCUACGGGGCGCAGCAGGCGCGAAACCUUUACACUGCACGCCAGUGCGAUAAGGGGACUCCGAGUGCGAGGGCAUAUAGUCCUCGCUUUUCACCACCGUAAGGUGGUGGUGGAAUAAGUGCUGGGCAAGACCGGUGCCAGCCGCCGCGGUAAUACCGGCAGCACGAGUGAUGACCGCUAUUAUUGGGCCUAAAGCGUCCGUAGCUGGCCGCGCAAGUCUAUCGGGAAAUCUGCUCGCCUAACGAGCAGGCGUCCGGUGGAAACUGUGUGGCUUGGGACCGGAAGACCAGAGGGGUACGUCCGGGGUAGGAGUGAAAUCCCGUAAUCCUGGACGGACCACCGGUGGCGAAAGCGCCUCUGGAGGACGGAUCCGACGG
rnacentral:rRNA from 1 species